rnacentral:piRNA from 1 species
UGACAAGAACCUCAACUGCAGCCGCCCACC